GUGCUCACUUUGGUAGCACAUAGAUUCAAAUUAAAAUCAAAAAAGAUUAGCAUGGCCUCCCUACAAGGUCGACGUGCAAAUUUGUGAAGCAUUUGAUAUUUUA